AUCCAGACUCCUACGGGAGGCAGCAGUAGGGAAUUUUGCGCAAUGGGGGAAACCCUGACGCAGCAACGCCGCGUGAUUGAUGAAGCCCUUCGGGGUGUAAAGAUCUGUCAGUGGGGACGAAACUUGACGGUACCCACAGAGGAAGCACCGGCUAACUCCGUGCCAGCAGCCGCGGUAAUACGGAGGGUGCGAGCGUUAAUCGGAAUUACUGGGCGUAAAGCGCACGUAGGCUGUUGUGUAAGUCAGGGGUGAAAUCCCACGGCUCAACCGUGGAACUGCCCUUGAUACUGCAUGACUGGAAUCCGGGAGAGGGUGGCGGAAUUCCAGGUGUAGGAGUGAAAUCCGUAGAUAUCUGGAGGAACAUCAGUGGCGAAGGCGGCCACCUGGACCGGUAUUGACGCUGAGGUGCGAAAGCGUGGGGAGCAAACAGGAUUAGAUACCCGAGUACA
rnacentral:rRNA from 1 species